GAGGAGCGGCCUAAAUGCCAGCUUGUGUGUCGCCCGGCAGCGCGGCAGGGCGUUCGAUCGUGCUCUGCUCAGUGAAAAGGCCUUCACGCGACACAGACAGAACAAACUUGUUGCCAGGCGACAUUGCGUGGCAAAAAACGGAAGGGGAAGAGGAGCAAACAGAUACACGAUUGAAAUCACGAAAAAAAAAAAAAAAAGCGACCCAAUAAGAGCCCCGGCAAACAUACCGUACCGCCGAUGCGAUUCUGCCUUUUUUUUUGUAGCACUCUACAAAAUCACUUUGCUCCUUUUAACCUGUGAAAUGUUUUGCUUUUUGGCAUGCUGAGCCGUUUUCCUUCAACUCAAGAUGCAAGGUCACCGAAAAGAAGCAGUUGAGCGCGCUGCCAGACGACUCAUCAGCCACAUACUAAGCUGAACGGCCGCCAGUGUUGGAUCCCUCAGUGGACCGAAACAUUUCCUCGUUCGCUAAGAAUUGCCAUUUAAGCUGCCCGCCACCCUUUGCUGUUUAACCUCAUGAGUCCAAGGACGACACCUCACCAUUGCCCAACCUCCGAGCUUGCACUGUCACAGAGAGAGAGACUGGAAGAGUCACAGAAAGGCAUCGAAGCGGACGUCCUUGGAACUAUAGUGUGGUGAAUGUUACCGUUGAGAACAGCGAGUCGUGCAAAAAAGAAAUGAAACAAUCAA